rnacentral:tmRNA from 1 species
GGGGAUGCAAAGGUUUCGACGGGGAUUGUAAGCGAAGGUAAGCGGGUAGAGGUGCGGACACUCUUUAAAAUCCGCAAUAAUAAAAAUAAACGACAACAAUACUGUUGCCUACGCGGCCUAAUUAGGCUGCCGUCCUUACUGAGAGUACCGCGGCUUAGAUAAGGGCGUCGAUUAGCGGUGCACGUGAACCGGAGAGUCGCCUUGUAUCCGGUCAUGAAUCAAAGGAUACCGAUCCGCCAAACCUGUUAUUGGGUGUGGCGGCUGGGGAAUCUCAAAACAAUAACUACACUCGUAGAAAGCUUUCGUAAGCGGUCUUCGGACAGGGGUUCGAUUCCCCUCAUCUCCACCA